rnacentral:misc_RNA from 1 species
UCUCCGUAGGUGAACCUGCGGAGGGAUCAUUACAGAGUUCUCGCCCUCACGGGUAGAUCUCCCACCCACUGUUAUCAUUACUGUCGUUUCUUUGGCGGGCCGCCGGGUCCCCGGCCGCCGGCGCCUAGCUGCCGGCGCGCGCCCGCCAGAGGCCUUCAAACUCUGAAUGUUAGUGUCGUCUGAGUACUAUAUAAUAGUUAAAACUUUCAACAACGGAUCUCUUGGUUCUA